UACGUAGGGUGCGAGCGUUGUCCGGAAUUAUUGGGCGUAAAGAGCUUGUAGGCGGUUUAUCGCGUCUGCUGUGAAAAUCCGGGGCUCAACCCCGGACUUGCAGUGGGUACGGGCAGACUGGAGUGUGGUAGGGGAGACUGGAAUUCCUGGUGUAGCGGUGAAAUGCGCAGAUAUCAGGAGGAACACCGGUGGCGAAGGCGGAUCUCUGGGCCGAUACUGACGCUGAGGAGCGAAAGCGUGGGGAGCGAACAGG
rnacentral:rRNA from 1 species